rnacentral:rRNA from 1 species
AACGUAGGUGGCAAGCGUUAUCCGGAUUCACUGGGCGUAAAGCGCAUGCAGGUGGCACAGUAAGUAGGGCAUGAAAACUCCUGGCUUAACUGGGAGAGGCUGUCCUAGACUGCUGAGCUUGAGGAUGGGAGAGGGAAGUGGAAUUGCCGGUGUAGUGGUGAAAUGCGCAGAGAUCGGCAGGAACACCCGUGGCGAAAGCGGCUUCCUGGCCCAUUCCUGACACUCAGAUGCGAAAGCUAGGGGAGCGAACGGG